rnacentral:rRNA from 1 species
UACGUAGGGGGCGAGCGUUGUCCGGAAUUACUGGGCGUAAAGAGAGCGUAGGCGGCACUACAAGUCUCAUGUGAAAUACCCGGGCUUAACUUGGGGGUUGCAUGGGAAACUGUAGAGCUUGAGUACAGGAGAGGCAAGCGGAAUUCCUAGUGUAGCGGUGAAAUGCAUAGAUAUUAGGAGGAACACCAGUGGCGAAGGCGGCUUGCUGGACUGAAACUGACGCUGAGGCUCGAAAGCGUGGGUAUCGAACAGG